rnacentral:lncRNA from 1 species
AUAAUGCGAUCAAGUGGGUUGGUUGCUUUCUGCCUAAGUAAAAAUCUGUUAAAUGCAAGAGAAUUGUUGACGAUACUGCGUUGGUUGGUAGUUUUCUGCGUUAUGGAAUCUUCACAUAACCUUAAAAUUAUAUUGUUGUUUUGUGUAUUUUGGCUAGUGAUAAAUUCUCGAAAAUUUGAGUAUUUCAAUGAUAUUUUAUAAGUAAAAAGUGUGUUAUUUCGUGAUACAGCAUAACUAGUGAGAUUUUUAAUCUACUUCAACAAAAAGAACAAGAGGCCAAGGAAAGAGAAACGGACAAAGUACUGGGCUCAUCUGAUAUAAAUGAAAAAGUGAUACUAUUACAAAUCGCAUUCUAUGUACUAGUAAGGAAAUAACAAUAAUAAGAGACAGGCAAUCAACCAAGGAGUGUGAAUCUAUUAACAAAGCUAUUAUCAGGGAGGAAGAGAAAUUAUUGACUCAAACGUUUUAUGAAGUUCGCCAUUUGAAAAUAAACCGUUCCGGUGGUUAUGAUUCCAAAGAUGACCAAUCGGAGGAUGACGAUGACUCUGUUCGCGACCCCAAUUACGAAGCUUUAAGUGAUGAAUCUUCUAGCUCAGAUUAUGAACCAACAUUUUCAAAACACGUCGUUGCCAAUAGCGAUCAUGUCGUUGCUGAUAGUGAUUUAACAGAAACUACCUUAAAAAAAGUUUACGCAGAAAGACCAAAAAAAGGAAGAAAAAGGAAAUAAACGUGUUUAUGGUAGAAAUCCAGGAAAAAGAAAAUUUUCCAGGACCUAUUAAAUACAAGACAAAGUGGUAUGCCGUGAAAUGUUUAUUAGAACAUUUACAACAUUUAGAGUUAAUGCCGCCCUUAGGAAAUUUAGAGGUGAAAUUUCUUUAACUGACCAAAGGGGUAUUAAACAAGGAGGGCAAAAUUAACUUUCAGAGGCGAAAAUUCAGGAGGUGAUUGAAUAAAUUAAAAAAAUUCCGAAAUAUAAAUCUCACUAUCGCAGAGAACAAACAAGCGCCGAAUUUUUGCCUCCGGAAAUGACAAUACAGAAAAUGUACGAGAUGUAGAGCCAAGAAACUGAAAAACCUAUAAGCAUGCCAAGGCGCUAUUAAUAAAUAUUUUACCAAUGACACUCAAAAAAGAUACCUGUAUUAGGUGCGAUAGAUUGAAGAUACAAAUUGAUAACGAAAAAAAAGAAAGCAUUCAAAAAGAUUAUACCAAUCACCUAAAAGACGCAGAAAAUGCUCAAUAUUUAACAAGAUGUAACUUUCAGUUGGCUAAAGAAAACGAAAAAUAUGAAUGCCUUACAUUUGAUUUAGAAAAAACAUUACCUUUACCAAUAAUACCGACAAAUAUUGUAUUCUAUAAAAGGCACCUCUGGGUAUACAACUGUGGUAUUCAUAACGGAAAGCAAGAUCAGGGAUUUUGUUACGUUUGGGCUGAAUGCGUUGCAGGAAGAGGGGCUCAAGAGGUAGGUUACUGCCUUCUUAAACAUAGAAAAAAGCGUCCAACAUCUUAUUCUCUGGAGAGAUUCAUGCGGUGGACAAAACCGCAAUAUUAAACUAACUCUUAUGUUAAAAGCUAUCUUACAUGAAUCAUUUACUUUGACUGAUAUUACUUUAAAAUUUUUAUGUUCA